UACGUAGGGGGCAAGCGUUGUCCGGAUUCAUUGGGCGUAAAGAGCUCGUAGGCGGUUCGGCAAGUCGGGUGUGAAAACUCCAGGCUCAACCUGGAGACGCCACCCGAUACUGCUGUGACUUGAGUCCGGUAGGGGACCACGGAAUUCCUGGUGUAGCGGUGAAAUGCGCAGAUAUCGGGAAGAACAUCAGUGGCGAAGGCGGUCUGCUGGGCCGUUGCUGACGCUGAGGCGCGACAGCGUGGGGAGCAAACAGG
rnacentral:rRNA from 1 species